AAGGUUCAGCCCUCUUUUCCUAACAUGGAAACUACCAUCUUCAUUCUCUGCUCGCUUCUGUUCAUGUGCUGGCAAAGAGAAAUGAGGAAAUCCUGGUUGUUCCACAGCAUCUAAGCCUUCGUAAAACUAUAAAACUCUACAAAGUCGUAAUAUGCUGUUCCACUGAAGUCACCUAGAAGAGGGCAGAGCCACGAGAUGGGAGAAGCCUGGGCUCUGAUUCUUAAAUGAGUAUGAAGAGCAAAUUCCCUCCCCUCUCCAUAUGCAAAUAAAUGAACUUGUAUAAUGUCAAAGUACUGGUAGUUUAUGUUUGCCUGUUAAAGAAGUUAAUUUACCAUGACAAAUACACUAUUUGCAAACAAGAAUCCUGAUUACUCUUGGUCUCCCUAGGUCACUAAAUUUUAAGUUUUUUAAAAAUGAGAACUAGAGUUUGAAAUGUAUCUUUUACUUAUCUAAUAUAUAGUCCAGGAUAUGCCCAUAGGUAAAUUAGAGCCAGAAUGUUCUUUAGAAAUAUGUAGUUCAAUUCUCCGUGUCCCAGUUUCCUUUCCACCAGCACACUUUUCACAAAAAAAAAGCAAAACCAAAGUUUGGAGAAAGCGAAAUAGUAGGAACUAAAUGAAUACUCAACAGAAUACAAUUAUGUAUAACUGCUGAUUCUUAGUCCAGUUUUCCAUAUUCACUUAUUCAGGAAAUAAAUUUGGAAAAAAAUGUU